AAAAGAAAGAAAAAGACCCCGUUGGGUGCCUGUCUCUCUUGCUGGUGUGGAAUGCCAGCAACGUACCAGGCGCGGUGCCACACGUUGAAGAAACAGCCAUGUGUCACCACGGGCACAGGCCUGGGCCUUGUGGAGCUCUGGUCCAGUGCAGGGAGUCGAAGGUCAUAGGAUACUCACACAAGUAAGUGCGAAGCCGAGACUGAGAUGGGAAGACAGCCGGUCACACGGGCGGGGAGCGUGUGGGGCUCGAAUCAGCAAGCCUGGACAAGUCCUCGGAACCCACACCCCAGUGGGACCUGGGGGAAGGGCAGAGCCUUGAGCCCUGAGGAGCAGGACGGUCCGUCAAGGACUCCCGCUUUCAGGGUCCUCUCUGGACCUGUGCCACUCAGCGUGGGGGCCAGGAAUCUGACCCUGAUGCAGCCUUGAGAGAGGCCCCAUUCCAAAGGUACCAGCACAUCCGACAGCCUCUGUCCACCCAUGGGGCCUGGCCAAGUGUCACUAAUCGUCGGUCUCCUCUUCAGUGGGCGUGACAAGUCCCUGGCAGAGUGUGAAGACGCCGUCCCACAGAGGGAGGCUGAAGAAAAGAUGGCAGAGGGCAGGGUUUUCAAUGGAGUGACGAGAGCUGAAGCUGGAAAACGGGGUCUUGGCGACAGGCAGACACACAGCGGCCGCGGCGUCCCUGCAGGGUGAAGCCAGCCCACUGCCGAGCGUCGGGUUAUUCUGGAAAUAAAGGCAGAUCCAGGGCCUACCGCCUAGGGCUGAUGGGGACCCGGGCAGCCACCCCAGGCCUGCCAUGCCAGCGUCUGCAGCCCUCGCCUGCGUCAGGACUCCAGAGCCAAGAUCCUAACCCAGACACAUGGACUCUGGCAGUCCCUGCUUGUCUCAGGACCAUCUGUUCUGAGGUGCCGCCAUGACGAUUGGCUCCUGGGGCAAGAUCAUCUCCCUGAGGAAGCAAACUGACAUGCCAGUCUCCUUUCGUGCCACGUACCAGCUCUGAAAAUCGGGACAGGUAACCAACUAUCUCUGAGCCACGUUUUCCUCAGCCACAAAAUGAUUUUCCUGGGACCGUUGAAGAAGUUACUGGUCUACCCCAGGCAAAGCUCACAGAGGAGCACCUGGCGUGCAAUGGACAUACCCAAGAUGCCCCUCCAGGUCUGCUCUCCUCUCAUGACUCAACUUCCACUUUCCCCUUUCUCCUGAUGCCUCCAAUCAGGGCAUUUCUAACCUUUCUGGUGACCCUGAAGACUCCCCAAAUGGCAUAACGGUGGACUCCACACAAAACCUCAGGGAAGCAACCAUCAUGAAUAAGGGGAGGAUAGUCUGGGCAUUCUGAGGCUAUUCAAAGCCAUUCAAGACCUUCCUCAGUGAAAG